CCUACGGGUGGCAGCAGUGAGGAAUAUUGGUCAAUGGACGAGAGCCUGAACCAGCCAAGCCGCGUGAAGGAUGACUGCCCUAUGGGUUGUAAACUUCUUUUAUAUGGGAAUAAAAUGUUCCACGUGUGGGAUGUUGUAUGUAUCAUAUGAAUAAGGAUCGGCUAACUCCGUGCCAGCAGCCGCGGUAAUACGGAGGAUCCGAGCGUUAUCCGGAUUUAUGGGGUAUAAAGGGGGCGAUGGUGGAUUGUUAAGUCAGAUGUAAAAGUGUGCGGCUCAACCGUAAAAUUGCCGUGGAAACUGGCAGUCUUGAGUACGGUAGAGGUGGGCGGAAUUCGUGGUGUAGCGGUGAAAUGCUUAGAUAUCACGAAGAACUCCGAUUGCGAAGGCAGCUCACUGGACUGCAACUGACACUGAGGCACGAAAGUGUGGGUAUCAAACAGGAUUAGAUACCCCUGUAGUC
rnacentral:rRNA from 1 species